UGGGGAAUAUUGGACAAUGGGGGCAACCCUGAUCCAGCAAUACCGCGUGUGUGAAGAAGGCCUGAGGGUUGUAAAGCACUUUCAGCGAGGAGGAAGGUACAUAAGCUAAUACCUUAUGUAAUUGACGUUACUCGCAGAAGAAGCACCGGCUAACUCUGUGCCAGCAGCCGCGGUAAUACAGAGGGUGCAAGCGUUAAUCGGAAUUACUGGGCGUAAAGCGUGCGUAGGCGGUGCUUUAAGUCAGAUGUGAAAGCCCCGGGCUUAACCUGGGAACUGCAUCUGAUACUGGAGCACUAGAGUAUGGCAGAGGAUAGUGGAAUUUCUGGUGUAGCGGUGAAAUGCGUAGAUAUCAGAAGGAACACCAGUGGCGAAGGCGACUGUCUGGGCCAAUACUGACGCU
rnacentral:rRNA from 1 species